UAAAUCAGUUAUGGUUCACUAGAUCGUAAAUUUUACACGGAUAACUGUGGUAAUUCUAGAGCUAAUACGUGCAACCAGCUCGCUUCCUUGUGGAGCGAGCGCAGUUAUUAGAACAAGACCAAUCCGGCCCUCGGGUCGGUACAAUUGGUGACUCUGAAUAACCGAAGCGGAGCGCAUGGUCUCGUACCGGCGCCAGAUCUUUCAAGUGUCUGACUUAUCAGCUUGUUGUUAGGUUAUGUUCCUAACAAGGCUUCAACGGGUAACGGGGUAUCAGGGUCCGAUACCGGAGAGGGAGCCUGAGAAACGGCUACCACAUCCAAGGAAGGCAGCAGGCGCGCAAAUUACCCACUCCUAGCACAGGGAGGUAGUGACGAAAAAUAACGAUGCGAGGGCUUAUAGCUUCUCGUAAUCGGAAUGGGUACACUUUAAAUCCUUUAACGAGGAUCUAUUGGAGGGCAAGUCUGGUGCCAGCAGCCGCGGUAAUUCCAGCUCCAAUAGCGUAUAUUAAAGUUGCUGCGGUUAAAAAGCUCGUAGUUGGAUCUGGGCUUCUGAAUGGAUGGUGCGCUUUACGGUGCUACUGUCCGUUUGGUGCCACAAGCCGGCCAUGUAGUGCAUGCUCUUCAUUGAGUGUGCAUUGCGACCGGAACGUUUACUUUGAAAAAAUUAGAGUGCUCAAAGCAGGCGUACGGCCUUGCAUAAUGGUGCAUGGAAUAAUGGAAUAGGACCUCGGUUCUAUUUUGUUGGUUUUCGGAACUCGAGGUAAUGAUUAAUAGGAACAGACGGGGGCAUU
rnacentral:rRNA from 1 species